rnacentral:rRNA from 1 species
CAAGCGUUGUUCGGAUUCAUUGGGCGUACAGGGUGCGUAGGCGGCGCGGUAAGUCGGGUGUGAAAUCUCGGAGCUUAACUCCGAAACUGCAUUCGAUACUGCCGUGCUUGAGGACUGGAGAGGAGACUGGAAUUUACGGUGUAGCGGUGAAAUGCGUAGAUAUCGUAAGGAAGACCAGUGGCGAAGGCGGGUCUCUGGACAGUUCCUGACGCUGAGGCACGAAGGGCAGGGGAGCAAACGGG